rnacentral:rRNA from 1 species
CGGACGGGUGAGUAACACGUUAGUACCUGCCCUUCAGUGGGGAAUAACUCGGCGAAAGUCGAGCUAAUACCGCAUAGGCNCGUUUACGAGUAAAGACUUCGGUCGCUGAAGAGGGGCUUGCGUCUGAUUAGCUAGUUGGUGGGGUAAAGGCCCACCAAGGCGACGAUCAGUAGCUGGUUCGAGAGGAUGACCAGCCACACUGGGACUGAGAUACGGCCCAGACUCCUACGGGAGGCAGCAGUGAGGAAUCUUCCGCAAUGGGCGAAAGCCUGACGGAGCAAUGCCGCGUGCAGGAUGACGGCCUUCGGGUUGUAAACUGCUUUUAUAUGGGAAGAUUAUGACGGUACCAUAUGAAUAAGGACCGGCUAACUACGUG